rnacentral:rRNA from 1 species
UAGGGAAUCUUCCACAAUGGACGAAAGUCUGAUGGAGCAACGCCGCGUGAGUGAUGAAGGGUUUCGGCUCGUAAAACUCUGUUGUUGGAGAAGAACGGGUGUCAGAGUAACUGUUGACAUCGUGACGGCAUCCAACCAGAAAGCCACGGCUAACUACGUGCCAGCAGCCGCGGUAAUACGUAGGUGGCAAGCGUUGUCCGGAUUUAUUGGGCGUAAAGCGAGCGCAGGCGGUUUUUUAGGUCUGAUGUGAAAGCCUUCGGCUUAACCGGAGAAGUGCAUCGGAAACCGGGAGACUUGAGUGCAGAAGAGGACAGUGGAACUCCAUGUGUAGCGGUGAAAUGCGUAGAUAUAUGGAAGAACACCAGUGGCGAAGGCGGCUGUCUGGUCUGCAACUGACGCUGAGGCUCGAAAGCAUGGGUAGCGAACAGGAUUAGAUACCCUGGUAGUCCAUGCCGUAAACGAUGAGUGCUAAGUGUUGGAGG